GGAUAUAGUUCAGUGGUAGAGCACAUGCUUAGCCUGCAUGAGGUCCUGGGUUCAAUCCCCAGUACUGCCA
rnacentral:tRNA from 1 species